rnacentral:ncRNA from 1 species
UCCUGACAAAGGCAAACCCAGAGUGAUCAGGGGACGCAAAGUAACAGGGUCUCUGGGUUAACACGACGAAGAAUCAAUUGCAGCAGAGAGACAGCCUUACUACCGAA